CAAAGAGAAACUUCACUCUUGAAUCUUUCUUUAAAAGUAAUAAUAAUGUCUUACAUUUGCAUGACAGGAAAAGCUUUGCAGAUGCAUUUCACAUACAUUAUCUCCUUUGCCUCUCAAUAUUCCUAUGAACUAGGUGGAAUAGUUACUAUUCUCUGUAUGCUUUAUGAGCAAAAUAGAAAGCAGCCUUAGCACAUUUGAAAUGUAAUUUCCUUUACAAAAAUUCACCUCAUCACCUCUUUAGAAAGUACAAUCCAUUGUGAAAAAUAUGCCUACCUCCUUUUACUCAUAUAUAUGUAUAGUUAGGGUCCUGUUUCUUUCUUUCUGUGUAACAAAUUACCCUAAAACUUAGUGGUUUAAAACAUCAUUUUACUAUUUUAAAUUGUCAUUUUAAAACAUUUUACUAUUUUUCGGUCAAUGGUUCAAUAUGAUUCGGUGGGGUAAGUGCUCUGUUUCCUGUGGAGUCUCCUGAGAUCUCUUGGUAAUACUCAUCUGUGAGCUCCAGAGCUGAUCUGGAGAUCCCAAGAUGGCUUUAUUCAUAAAUUUAGUGCUGCAUGGGGAUGGCUGGACUGUCAACUAGAACACCUACACUUAGUGCUUGCAAGAUGGUAUCAGGAGAGUUGGAAACUCAGGGCUUUUAAAGAUACUGGUCCAAGAAAACCUAAAUGGAAGCUGUCAUUUAUUAAGGUCUAGGACUCAGUGAAAGGUAAAUCUUUCAAAACUUUCAGUGAUACAAACAGCCCACCGCAGCACGUGUGCCAUAGGUUCGCCACCACCCCCCCCCACACUGGUCAGGUUCGAGAACCAGCUCAGUAUCACUUCUGCCAUAUUCUCUUGGUCAGAGCAAGUCAUGGAGCCCAUCCAGAGUUGAGAGGAAGGGACAUAUUCCCUAUCUCGUAACCGAAAGGAUGUCAAAGACUUUGCUGCUAUUUUUAAUUUGUCACAAUCCCCUCUCCAUGCAAGAAUACAUUCCUUCUCUUUGAAGAGCUCCCAGAUUCCCAUCUCAUAGCAUCAGUACCCAGGCACUAUCAGGAUCAGGCUCAAGAGCCAGAAUCUUGGCUUUCAGAUCAGGUCCAGUUAUGAAUGUAACUCUUUAGUUUCAUUCUGACUGUUGUCAUCUUAACCUGUGAACUAGAGAAAUAAAUUUGUUAAGACAGUGGUAAGCUAAAUGCAAUAGGCAUUCUCAUUCAAAAAUGGAGGGAAUAGAAAUCACAGAGUAGUUUCUAGUCUGGCAUUUCUGAAAUCUCGCUCACUAUAGCUGACUUUUUUCUUUUUCUUUUUUUUUUUGUUUUCUAAGACAAGGUCUCGCUAUGCAGACCUCACUAUAUAGUCUGGGCUGGCCUCAAAUUCAGGCAAUCCUCCUGCUUCUGCCUUCUGAGUGCUGGGACUACAGAACUAAGAUACUGUGGCCAUUACAUCCAGCCACAGUUGACACUUUAUCAGUCCUUCCUAGAAAUUAUGUGAUAAUAUAAUAAAAUAAUACACACAUUAUUUAUAUAUUUAAAAUAAUUAUAUCAACAUUAUUCAUGCAAUUAGAAUGAUUUAAUAGUUUACUUUUUAGCUCACCUUUCUCUAUUAAUAGUACAUCAUGCAUAUCUGAUUUAAAUCAUUGGCUCUUUUGGCACUCCUUCCAGAAACUGAAAGCCUGCCAAUUCUGUCACUUCAUUAGGCAUAUUUUCUGUUGCCUAGAUUACCACAGGUAACAAUGUUGCCAAAAUUGCUGCCACUUCAAAACCAGAGUCACAUAUUCUCCAGCCUCCAAUAGCAAUUGCUGUACUAUGUGGUCACCCACAGUUUCCUCCAGGCUCUUCCACUUUCAUGAACAGUGUCUUCAAGGUUUUUCCAGCUUCUGUCUUCUUCCUGGUUCCAAAAUCAUGGUUUUAGGUUAUUGUUGUGGUAGCACUUCUCUUUCAGGUAUCAAAUUCUGUUCCCUUUUUCUAUUGGUAUAAAAUAAAUCAUUCUAAAAUCUGUCUAGGAAGAGUAAGCAUUUUGUUAUAUCAACGUUUUGCUGCUUGGGAAUCAGGCACAGAUGUCUCAGUUGGGUGAUUCUUAACCUAGAUCCUUAGGUGAUCUUGGGCUUCUGGGUUGGCUGGACAGGAAGGUCAGGAUGGCUGCAGUCAUCUGAUGGCACGAUGGCAGUUUUGGCUGAAAGUUGGGCUCACCUGGGUCUGCUGAUGAAGUGUCUACACAUGACCUCUCUAAGAGAGCAGCUUUAGGGUGAUAGGAGCUCUUAACAGUGAUCCAGGGAUCCCAGAGAUUGUGUUUUAAGAGGUAAGAGUUGGAAAUUGUCAAUUUCUUAGGUCCUAGAACUGGAAUCUGACCCAGUUCCACUUCUGCUCUCUUCUAUUGGCCAAACACUCACAGAGACCACCCCAAUUCAAGAGCAUGAGGUGUAGACUUCAUCUGUCCAUAGGUUUACAAAUGGUUAAUUUUUCGUUCUGAAUUAUUUGCUAGUACAUAGCUGUUUGACUCGGUGGGCUAACUCAGCAUUGCCUGUUCAAAGUUCUGGUUCCAUUUCUCCCACUGCUUGGCUGUGUUUGAGCUGAGGCAAAUAACCUUUGGGUUUCAGUUUCCAUAAGAGAUAAAAUGGGGAUGGUGAUAGCUGUUGGCAGUCGUGGCUUUUGGGGAUGUUAUGCUUUAAAAAAAAAAAUCAAUAUUCAAAAAGUGUACUUUAAAAUGCUCUAGGAAGUAGAAGAAUAAAUUACCAUAACUAACUGGACCAUUACCAAUUCAUCACAUUUUCAUAUUGAGGGUGAAAAUUGGGUCUCAGUAUUUUACAGGAUCAACAGGGCCACAAAGGAACUUGGGUACACACAGCCCUCACACCAUGAGCUCACAAUCCACAACUUAGUGUCCUUUCCCUCGGUGCUUCCUGUGCCAGGUGAUGUAUGUUUUCUUACUGUAUCUUUGCAACAUCCUUUUGAGGUGGGUGGUGUUAUUAACAUCUUAAUCAUGUUUUCUGAAACAUUUUUGUUCUGGAGUUUAAAUUCUAACACAUCCUUUGCAUAUUUAUACAUAAUACAUCUUAAAAGAAUCUAAUGAAAACUUUAGUAGAGUCUGUAGGGGUUUUAAAAAAAUUCUAGGAAAAUUGUCCUUUUAAAUUUUAUACAAAUAUUCUUGCAAAAUGAGAUAAAAGCAGAUCUAUGAAGAUAUAAAAAUGAUAUAACCAGGGGAAGAUAAAAAAUAGAAGGAAAGCGAUUAGCAGAAGCUCAUUUUACUUCCGCAAGUCAGAAGGAAGAUGGGAUGACUCUUACAGUAGGAGGGAAUGGGCUGGAAGCCAAGAAUGAAGUGUGCACCCUUGAAGAGUUUCUUGACUCCUCUGAAGUUUGCUUUGGUGUCUUAUGAAAGGCUGGACCUAGAUGACCUCUAAGGUCAUAUCAACUUGAAUACUUUCCUAUGACUCCAAGAAAUGGUGACAGAACGCUAAAUUCAGUAAGUAAACCCACCUGUUAAAGAAGUAAUGCUGUGGAUUAGAGAAUAGGAUUAGAAAAUGAUAAAAAGAAGAGACAGGGGUUUGGAACUUUGGCCUGGAAAAUAAAAAUUAGUAGAAUGACCAUAAAGACUGGGAAAAGGGAAAGAAAAGAGCAGGCAAGGAGGAAAAUCAAGAUAAAAAAUAAUGCUAAGCUUGGGCAUCAAGAAGGUAAUUUUCAAAAAGUUUUAUUUAAUCUUUCAAGAAAUGUUUAUUGAGCUUUCCAAGUAUCAGGCCUUACUUUAGGUAUUUAAGUUGUAGUUGCUUUCAAAAACUCUCUUUCUUCAUAGAGCUUACAUUCUAGGCUGGGGAAUUCAGGCAAUAAAUAGGAUAAGCAAGUAAAAUGUAUGGUAUGUUGGAUAAUGAUAAGUGGUUAGCAGAGGAAUGAAGUGGGGUCGUGUGGGUAGAGCAUGUAACAUCAGGUGGACUGGGCCAGGAAGACUUUACCGAGUAAGGAUCUGAAGAAAGUGAAGUGAAUAAGCUAUGGUUAUUUUGCUUCCUAGUUCAUGGGGGAAAUGAAAGCACUCAGAAGAACAGUCCAGGCAGGGAGACUAGCAAGUUCAAAGCUUCAUAGAUGGGAGCAUGCCUGAUAUAUUCAAGGAAAGGCUAGGAAACCAGUAAAGCUACAAUGGGAUAAAUGAAGAGGAGGAGAGAAGGAGGGGAGAUGACAAAAAAGACUUUGGAAGAUGUUAAGCAGAGAGUGCCAUAUGACAUACUUGAAUAUGAUAAUUUUAUUGCUGUUUCAACAGAAUCUAAAAAAGAGCAAGGACAGAAAAAGGAAGAGCAGCAAGGAUGCUACUGCACCAACCCAGGUCUAAAAGAAUGGGACUUGAUCCUCUUGACACCAUUUGGAAGAUCAUGUUUAGAAGAACUACAAAAACUAUGCUGGGCUUGUACAUGUCUCAGGACAUAAAUAUGGUUUUCAUAAAGCCCAGAUUGUAUUCCAAAAUAGCCCAUAAGUCCAACAACAGGUGUUAUAUAUUGUACCCUUUUUAAGCACUUUACUUUGAAGAGGGAUACAAAUGAGAGCUUCUGAUGAGAUGACUAGGGAUCUACUGGGCCAGCAUGUCUUGAAGAUGGAGCUUGCUCAUGUGAAUGGCUCAGCAGAUGCAGUGAACUCACAUCCCACUGGAGGCCAUCGCAUGGAGGGGGGUAGCUGUGCCAAUGUUCAUGUGAAGAGGACACUGGGAAUUGAAGGAGGGAUCGAACUCGGGAACUUGUGCUUGCGAGGCAGGCGGCGGAAUCGCUGAGCUAAAUCCCUGGCCCCAUGCAAGUAAUUUUUGCACAUAUCUCAGUUCUUCAGGAACCAGAGAAAGCUUUGUGGUGUUCUUCAAACCAGAAAUUGCUCUACUCCAAAUCCAGAGAAGUCUUUUGGAAUCCCCUUUGCUACAACAACCUUGGAGGGAAGAAAACACGGUUUCUUAGAUUGUCUAUCCAAGGAACACACACCAGCCUUUUCACAGAAAACUGGCAGCUAAUCAAAAUAUACUGUUAGAGGUACAAGUGGUUCAAAAAGACUGAAGACCUAAAAGUUUAAACUUUUUUCUGACUUCCCUGACAAGGGCACUUUGCAGCCCAAGAUCUUGCUUCUCAGCACCUAGCACAGUUUGCCCCCAUGUUUUAGAUUGGUCUUUCUCCUCUAGAAGACUCCAGGAGGGCUGGUGCCCUGACAUAGGCUGAGUGCUCAGAAUUUGUUCAGUGAAUCAACAAAUGUUGAGCAGUUGCUGACAUGGAGGCUGAGAAUUCUCUACAAUUAGCAGAUCAGAUUUGAUAAAAGGAAAUGACCAGUCUGAUCUAGAUUCUUGUAGGUUGUAGACUACAUGUCUACAGUGCAUGCAUGGCAUUAGUGCAUGAAUGAUUUUACUGCAUGUGUGACACUGUAUCACAGAAUGCCAGAGGUAAGAUACGAGGAAGGCAUAGAUUUUUCUGUUUCUAAGUGCAAAACAUUAAACAUGAAUCUGAGAUGGACAAAAGAGUCUGUAUUUUCAUCAGUUAAAAUUGUAUACUUUUAGCCUAUUGUCUAUGGCCAUAUCUAUUUGCUUUCAAAAUUAUUUUCCUAUUAAAAAUAAAAAUUUAGGAAAUCAUUUCCCAUCUGGCUAAGGAGAUCUAAAGUGGAU